rnacentral:snoRNA from 1 species
UCCUUUGGUUCAUGAAUGUGAUGACUGAGUGUUCACACUAUUGUGUGAGUCAUGCCUCCCUCUAAACCUUGUUAUGACUUCGGCACAUUACCCAUCUGAU